CACGUAGGGUGCGAGCGUUGUCCGGAAUUAUUGGGCGUAAAGGGUGUGUAGGUGGCGCCGUAAGUCGGGUGUGAAAUUUCGGAGCUUAACUCCGAAACUGCAUUCGAUACUGCGGUGCUUGAGGACUGGAGAGGAGACUGGAAUUCAUGGUGUAGCAGUGAAAUGCGUAGAGAUCAUGAGGAAGACCAGUGGCGAAGGCGGGUCUCUGGACAGUUCCUGACACUGAGACACGAAGGCCAGGGGAGCAAACGGG
rnacentral:rRNA from 1 species